GAUGAACGCUAGCGGCAGGCUUAACACAUGCAAGUCGAGGGGCAGCGCGGGAUAGCAAUAUCCUGGCGGCGACCGGCGGAAGGGUGCGUAACGCGUGAGCGACAUGCCCGUUGCCCGGGGACAACCGGUGGAAACGCCGACUAAUCCCCGAUGGGAUACGAUGCUUCAUGGCAUUGUAUUGAAAGUUACGGCGGCGACGGAUUGGCUCGCGUCCGAUUAGCUGGUUGGCGGGGUAACGGCCCACCAAGGCUGCGAUCGGUAGGGGGUCUGAGAGGAAGGCCCCCCACAAUGGGACUGAGACACGGCCCAUACUCCUACGGGAGGCAGCAGGGAGGAAUAUUGGUCAAUGGGCGGAAGCCUGAACCAGCCAUGCCGCGUGCGGGAAGGAGGCCCUAUGGGCUGUGAACCGCUUUUGCCUGGGGGCAAUAAGGGCGUCGCGCACGUCCGAUGAGAGUACCAGGCGAAUAAGCAUCGGCUAACUCCGUG
rnacentral:rRNA from 1 species